rnacentral:rRNA from 1 species
CGGCGAGCGAACGGGGACCAGCCAAGCCAUGAGAGUGAAUAGAAUGUGCUGGAAAGCACAGCCAUAGCGGGUGACAGCCCCGUAUAUGAAGCUCGAUUGGAUGUAUUAAGUAGGGCGGGACACGUGAAAUCCUGUCUGAAGAUCGGAGGACCACCUUCGAAGGCUAAGUACUCCUUACUGACCGAUAGCGAACCAGUACCGUGAGGGAAAGGUGAAAAGCACCCCGACGAGGGGAGUGAAACAGUUUCUGAAACCGGACGCCUACAAGCAGUCGGAGCCUCCUUGAGAGGUGACGGCGUACCUUUUGUAUAAUGGGUCAGCGAGUUACGUU